rnacentral:rRNA from 1 species
UACGUAGGCAGCAAGCGUUGUUCGGAGUUACUGGGCGUAAAGGGUGCGUAGGCGGCUUCUUUAAGUCUGGUGUGAAAUCUCCCGGCUCAACUGGGAGGGUGCGCCGGAUACUGAGGGGCUAGAGUGUGGGAGAGGAAAGUGGAAUUCCUGGUGUAGCGGUGAAAUGCGUAGAUAUCAGGAGGAACACCGGUGGUGUAAACGGCUUUCUGGACCAUAACUGACGCUGAGGAGCGAAAGCAUGGGGAGCGAACAGG